GGUGGUAAUAAAGUAUACAAAAUUUGCUCUGGCUGAAUUUUUCAAUGAAAAAACAAUAUGUGUGCCAUGAAUGUAAUCUGUUUUUCAUGGUGUAUCAAUGAAAGUUUGGUGUAUUGGCCAAAUCACUUGAAAGCAUCUUGCCUUUAAACUGCCAUACGUAAAGUCGCGCUUUUAAAAGUAACUGAAAGCAGCUGAAUAUAAGAUUUUUUUGAUGAACUUUCUUACUUCGGUUGGAGGAGAUGAGAAACAACUUACAGCGGCAAUCUUAAUACAGCUAAUGGCCAAAGAAAUAUGUUUUUCAUAUUCAGUGUAUGGAAUGAAAC